rnacentral:lncRNA from 1 species
GCUUCACACCGUCAACGCCGCCCCCAACUUCCACUAAUUACAGAACGGCCAAGAGACGGAAGGGCAUUCCCCACAGAGCCCCAAUGGGAGGGCUAAUCAUCGAAUAUUAAGUCAAGCCCUUGCACUUUUAGUAUAUUUACCUAAAUGCCUCACUUAUACAGUAAGUCUAUCACAAAUGCCCCUCCAAUCGCUUGAGCUUUUUUCUCAAAAAGGCCAUGUUUUGGAGAAAAUUAGAAAAACGCCCACUUAGCUUUCUGGUAUUGUACAUAGAAGCCGUAUAGGAACAAGUGCAAGUGUUGGAAAAGUUAGAGAAUAAGACAGUAAC